GUCGAGCGAACGGACGAGAAGCUUGCUUCUCUGAUGUUAGCGGCGGACGGGUGAGUAACACGUGGAUAACCUACCUAUAAGACUGGGAUAACUUCGGGAAACCGGAGCUAAUACCGGAUAAUAUUUUGAACCGCAUGGUUCAAAAGUGAAAGACGGUCUUGCUGUCACUUAUAGAUGGAUCCGCGCUGCAUUAGCUAGUUGGUAAGGUAACGGCUUACCAAGGCAACGAUGCAUAGCCGACCUGAGAGGGUGAUCGGCCACACUGGAACUGAGACACGGUCCAGACUCCUACGGGAGGCAGCAGUAGGGAAUCUUCCGCAAUGGGCGAAAGCCUGACGGAGCAACGCCGCGUGAGUGAUGAAGGUCUUCGGAUCGUAAAACUCUGUUAUUAGGGAAGAACAUAUGUGUAAGUAACUGUGCACAUCUUGACGGUACCUAAUCAGAAAGCCACGGCUAACUACGUGCCAGCAGCCGCGGUAAUACGUAGGUGGCAAGCGUUAUCCGGAAUUAUUGGGCGUAAAGCGCGCGUAGGCGGUUUUUUAAGUCUGAUGUGAAAGCCCACGGCUCAACCGUGGAGGGUCAUUGGAAACUGGAAAACUUGAGUGCAGAAGAGGAAAGUGGAAUUCCAUGUGUAGCGGUGAAAUGCGCAGAGAUAUGGAGGAACACCAGUGGCGAAGGCGACUUUCUGGUCUGU
rnacentral:rRNA from 1 species